UACGGGGGGAGCAAGCGUUGUUCGGAUUUACUGGGCGUAAAGGGCGCGUAGGCGGCCAGCACAAGUCAGUUGUGAAAUCUCCGAGCUUAACUCGGAAAGGUCAACUGAUACUGUGCGGCUAGAGUGCGGAAGAGGCAACUGGAAUUCUUGGUGUAGCGGUGAAAUGCGUAGAUAUCAAGAGGAACACCUGCGGCGAAGGCGGGUUGCUGGGCCGACACUGACGCUGAGGCGCGAAAGCCAGGGGAGCAAACGGG
rnacentral:rRNA from 1 species